rnacentral:rRNA from 1 species
GACGAACGCUGGCGGCGUGCUUAACACAUGCGAGUCGAACGGAAAGGCCCUGCUUUUGUGGGGUGCUCGAGUGGCGAACGGGUGAGUAACACGUGAGUAACUUGCCCUUGACUUUGGGAUAACUUCAGGAAACUGGGGCUAAUACCGGAUAGGAGCUCCUGCUGCAUGGUGGGGGCUGGAAAGUUUCGGCGGUUGGGGAUGGACUCGCGGCUUAUCAGCUUGUUGGUGGGGUAGUGGCUUACCAAGGCUUUGACGGGUAGCCGGCCUGAGAGGGUGACCGGCCACAUUGGGACUGAGAUACGGCCCAGACUCCUACGGGAGGCAGCAGUGGGGAAUAUUGCACAAUGGGCGGAAGCCUGAUGCAGCAACGCCGCGUGCGGGAUGACGGCCUUCGGGUUGUAAACCGCUUUCGCCUGUGACGAAGCGUGAGUGACGGUAAUGGGUAAAGAAGCACCGGCUAACUACGUG